UGCCAGCAGCCGCGGUAAUACGGAGGGUGCAAGCAUUAAUCGGAAUUAUUGGGCGUAAAGGGCGCGUAGGCGGAUAGAAAAGUCAGAUGUGAAAUUUCGGGGCUCAACCCCGAAGCUGCAUUUGAAACUCUCAAUCUUGAGGAUAGGCGGGGAAAACGGAAUUCCACGUGUAGCGGUGAAAUGCGUAGAUAUGUGGAAGAACACCCGUGGCGAAGGCGGUUUUCUAGCUUAUUCCUGACGCUGAGGCGCGAGAGCAAGGGGAGCAAACAGGAUUAGAUA
rnacentral:rRNA from 1 species